UCUCUCUCUUUCUCUCUUUCUUUCUUUCUCUCUCUCUCUCUCUCUCUCUCUCUUUCUCUCUUUUCUUUCUUUCUGUCAUUACAUUUACUUCAUUGGAAAGGUUUGAAAAAGCAGCUCACAUUUCCUGGAAAGGCAAGUAAGAUUCUAUGUGAUCUAGCCCCCUGACUGCUUCUCCUGACUUAUUUUCCAUAUUGUCCUGCCAUCCACCCUAUUUCCAAGCCGUACAAACUGCUGGAGUGUUCCUGAAAGUGACAAACUCUUUCUGGCCUCCAUUCCUUUAUUCCCACUGUUCCCUCUGCAAGUAACACUUUGCCCCCAUCAUUCUGUCUGAUGAAUACCCAAUCAUCUUUCAAAAUUCAGCCAAUGAACCAUUCCUCUGUGAAGCCUCCUGACAACCCACUGUGUGCACAACUCAGCACCACGCCAACUAAGUAAGACCGCGAAUAUUUUGCAGGAAACCCAGGGCCACGCAGAUGCCAUUUGGUAGGACUUGGGGCUAGAUGAUCUCUCUCAGAUAUUGGAAGAUGCUUUCUCCUAGGACCGGGACAGGCACUGCGCGAAAUGAGCCUUGGUGCGUGUUCAUUCACUUCAUCUGUCAACAUUGACUGGGGGCUUGCUGUGGACAUGUACCACGGGUGAAUAAAUGAUAGUUGUAGUCUCUA